rnacentral:rRNA from 1 species
GAGGCGAACCGGGAGAACUGAAACAUCUAAGUACCCCGAGGAAAAGAAAUCAACCGAGAUUCCCUCAGUAGCGGCGAGCGAACGGGGAUUAGCCCUUAAGCAUCUUGGAAGUUAGUGGAACGGUCCUGGAAAGGCCGGCGAUACAGGGUGAUAGCCCCGUACACGAAAACAACCUUGAUGUGAAAUCGAGUAGGGCGGGACACGUGACAUCCUGUCUGAAUAUGGGGGGACCAUCCUCCAAGGCUAAAUACUCCUGACUGACCGAUAGUGAACCAGUACCGUGAGGGAAAGGCGAAAAGAACCCCUGUGAGGGGAGUGAAAUAGAACCUGAAACCGUGUACGUACAAGCAGUGGGAGCCCUUCGGGGUGACUGCGUACCUUUUGUAUAAUGGGUCAGCGACUUACAUUUUGUAGCGAGGUUAACCGUAUAGGGGAGCCGUAGGGAAACCGAGUCUUAACUGGGCGUCUAGUUGCAAGGUGUAGACCCGAAACCGGGUGAUCUAGCCAUGGGCAGGUUGAAGGUUGAGUAACAUCAACUGGAGGACCGAACCCACUAACGUUGCAAAGUUAGGGGAUGACCUGUGGCUGGGGGUGAAAGGCCAAUCAAACUCGGAGAUAGCUGGUUCUCCCCGAAAGCUAUUUAGGUAGCGCCUCGGACGAAUACUACUGGGGGUAGAGCACUGUUUGGGCUAGGGGGUCAUCCCGACUUACCAACCCCAUGCAAACUCCGAAUACCAGUAAGUAAUAUCCGGGAGACACACGGCGGGUGCUAACGUCCGUCGUGAAGAGGGAAACAACCCAGACCGCCGGCUAAGGUCCCAAAGUUCUGGUUAAGUGGGAAACGAUGUGGGAAGGCUCAGACAGCUAGGAUGUUGGCUUAGAAGCAGCCAUCAUUUAAAGAAAGCGUAAUAGCUCACUAGUCGAGUCGGCCUGCGCGGAAGAUGUAACGGGGCUCAAACCAGGCACCGAAGCCGCGGAUUCACACUUAUGUGUGAGUGGUAGGGGAGCGUUCUGUAAGUCUGCGAAGGUGUAUCGAGAGGUAUGCUGGAGAUAUCAGAAGUGCGAAUGCUGACGUAAGUAACGAUAAAGGGGGUGAAAAGCCUCCUCGCCGGAAGACCAAGGGUUCCUGUCCAACGUUAAUCGGGGCAGGGUGAGUCGACCCCUAAGGCGAGGCCGAAAGGCGUAGUCGAUGGGAAGCAGGUUAAUAUUCCUGCACGACUUGUAAUUGCGAUGGGGGGACGGAGAAGGCUAGGUGGGCCAGGCGACGGUUGUCCUGGUGAAAGUGCGUAGGUGGUGUUUCCAGGCAAAUCCGGAGACACAACACUGAGACACGAGACGAAC